AGCCACAGCCAUAUCACCCUGCAGCUCAAGACCGGUUACUUGCUGAAGAUAAGCAGGGCUGAGCCUGGUCAGUACCUGGAUGGGUGACCACAUGGGAAAACUAAGUUGGAAGUGGUGU
ensembl:rRNA 5S_rRNA 5S ribosomal RNA